GCCUCCAUAGUGUAGUGGUUAGCACGUCUGCUUUGCACACAGAAGGUCCUGGGUUCGCGCCCCACGUGGAGACA
rnacentral:tRNA from 1 species